GAAUAAAUUGUAAAAAAGGCAUAGAGUGGAUGCCCUGACUUGAGACUCCGAUGAAGGACGCGGCUAGCUGCGAUAAGCCUCGUAGAGUUGCUAAGCAAACAGUGACACGAGGAUUUCCGAAUGGGGGAACCCAAUCCGAGUAAUGUCGGAUUUUUCCGGUCUUCGACCGGUAAGGACACUUUGCGAACUGAAACAUCUAAGUAGCAAAGGUAAAGAAAUCAAACGAUAUUCCCUUAGUAGUGGCGAGCGAAACGGGAACAGCCCAAACUUCUUACUUCGGUAAGGAGGGUUGCAGGACUCCGAUAUGGAUUUAUUCUCUAUUAGCCGAAUAUCUCUGGGAAGUGAUACCAAAGAGGGUAAAAGUCCCGUAGGCGAAAAUAGGUUUAAAUCCUAGGAAGUUCCUAAGUAAGAUCGGACACGUGUAAUCCGGUCUGAAUCUGGGAGGACCACCUUCCAAGGCUAAAAAUGUCUCGAGAUCUAUAGCGUACAAGUACCGCGAGGGAAAGGUGAAAAGCACCCCGGUGAGGGGGAUGAAAUAGAACCUGAAACUCUAUGCUUAAAAGGAAUCGGAGCUCCACUUUGUGGAGUGACGGUGUACUUUUUGUAGAACGGGCCAACGAGUUAGCUGUAUACGGCGAGGUUAACCCCGGAAAAUGGGGGAAGCCGAAGCGAAAGCGAGUCUUAACUGGCGAUUAGUCGUAUGCACUAGACCCGAAACCACGUGAGCUAUCCAUGGGCAGGCUGAACCUCGCUUAACCGCGGGGGGAGGGCCGAACUCAAUGAUGUUGCAAGAUCAUGAGAUGACCUGUGGAUAGGGGUGAAAUGCCUAUCUAACGUGGAGAUAGCUGGUUCUCUCCGAAAUAGCUUUAGGGCUAGCCUUGAUCUUAUAGGCAUUGGGGGUAGAGCUCUAUUUAGACUAGGGGGCGAAAUAAGUCUACCAAAUCUAGAUAAACUUCGAAUACCAAUGUUUCUGAUCAGGAGUCAGACAGUGACAGCAAAGUGCCAUUGUCAAAAGGGGAACAGCCCAGACCGUCGUUUAAGGUCCCUAAUAAAGUCUAAGUGGCAAAGGAUGUCGGAUUGUUUAGACAACCAGGAGGUUUGCUUAGAAGCAGCAAUCCUUUAAAGAGUGCGUAACAGCUCACUGGUCUAUGUGAUCCUGCGCCGAAAAUUCAACGGGGCUUAAGGCUUUAACCGAAAACACGGAUUCAUAUACUUUAUUGUGUAUGACUGGUAGGAGAGCGUUCCCAACAGCGAUGAAGGUCACAUGUAAAUGUGGCUGGAGUGUUGGGAAGUGAAAAUGUUGGCAUAAGUAGCAUGUAAACCGAGUGAAAACCUCGGUCACCGAAAAUCCAAGGUUUCCCAAGCCACGUCAAUCGACUUGGGGUUAGUCGGUCCUAAGGCAUAGCUGAAGAGCGAAGCUGAUGGACAACGGGUUAAUAUUCCCGUACAACUUGCGUUUCGCCCAAGCAAAACCGGAGCGCGAUAAUUCUCCUCUUUCUUGAAGUCUUCGGAUGGAUAGAUUGAGGAAUCUUAUCAAGUGAAGGUGGCGCUAACUAAGGAGUGACGCUUUUGGACAAUCGGAGCUGGUAAACGAAUUCCAGUGCAAGCCACAAGCUUAGGCUUCUGUAGGAAAAUCCGCAGAGGUUCGCGAGUGGUAAUGCAGAUUCCGUCCUCGUGAUGGAAGAUUCCGGUGCGUUCGGGAGUCAAGAAAAUCUUCGUAGUGAGAAAUGUGAGUUACCGUACCGCAAACCAACGCCGGUGGAUAGGUUGAGUAUACUAAGGUGUGUGAGUUAACUCUCGUUAAGGAACUCGGCAAAAUAACAGGUGUAACUUCGGGAGAAACCUUGCCUAAUCCUGGUGCAGUUUCGAUUGCAUUUUGGACUAGGCCGCAGUUAAAGAACCCUUGCAACUGUUUAUCAAAAACACAGGUCUCUGCUAAACCGUAAGGUGAAGUAUAGGGACUGACGCCUGCCCAGUGCCAGAAGGUCACGAGGAGGGGUGAAAGCUCCGAAUCUAAGCCCUGGUGAACGGCGGCCGUAACUAUAACGGUCCUAAGGUAGCGAAAUUCCUUGUCGGGUAAGUUCCGACCCGCACGAACGGCGGAAUGAUCAUGGGUACUGUCUCAACGAGAGGCUCAGCGAAAUUACAAAGACGGUAAAAAUGCUGUCCUACCACAGUAAGACGAAAAGACCCUGUGCAGCUUUACUAUAACUUGACAUUGAACCGAGGCAUUUUUUGCGCAGGAUAGGUGGGAGACUAUGAUGGGUUCACUUUGGUGGAUCCGGAGUCGACGUUGAGAUACCACCCUUGAAAUGUUUUGGUUCUAACCCUUCCGAAAGAGGGGGACAGUGUUUGGUGGGUAGUUUAUCUGGGGCGGAUGCCUCCUAAAGAGUAACGGAGGCGCGCGAUGGUUCCCUAGGCCUGGAUGGAAAUCAGGCUGGUUGUGUAUUCGCAUAAGGGAGCUUGACUGCAAGACCAACAAGUCGAGCAGGUACGAAAGUAGGCGAAAGUGAUCCGGUAGUUGGACGUGGGUCCGCUAUCGCUCAACGGAUAAAAGUUACGCCAGGGAUAACAGGCUAGUCGCUUCCAAGAGUUCACAUCGACGAAGCGGUUCGGCACCUCGAUGUCGGCUCGUCGCAUCCUGGGGGUGGAGAAGCUCCCAAGGGUUUGGCUGUUCGCCAAUUAAAGCGGUACGCGAGCUGGGUUCAGAACGUCGUGAGACAGUUCGGCCUCUAUCUACUGUGGUUGUAGGAAUUUUGAGGGAAGCUAUCCCUAGUACGAGAGGACCGGGAUGGACAGACCUCUAGUAUAUCUGUUGUCGUGUCAACGGCAUUGCAGAGUAGCUAUGUCUGGAACGGAUAACCGCUGAAAGCAUCUAAGUGGGAAGCCGCUCCCAAGAAAAAGUUCCCAAUUAAUCUGCCCGAAGAAUACGGGCUUGAUAGGCCUCAGGUGUAAGCGCAGUGAUGCGUUCAGCCGAGAGGUACUAACAGAUGACUGAUUUAUUUUU
rfam:Candidatus Peregrinibacteria bacterium RIFOXYB12_FTLL_41_12 rifoxyb3_full_scaffold_56, whole genome shotgun sequence.